rnacentral:rRNA from 1 species
CCAUGAAUGUGACUGGAACAGACUGGAAAGUCUGGCCAAAGUGGGUGACAGCCCCGUACAGGAAGCAUGAUUGGACGUAUUAAGUAGGGCGGGACACGUGAAAUCCUGUCUGAAGAUCGGGGGACCACCCUCGAAGGCUAAGUACUCCUUACUGACCGAUAGCGAACCAGUACCGUGAGGGAAAGGUGAAAAGCACCCCGACGAGGGGAGUGAAACAGUACCUGAAACCGAACGCCUACAAUCAGUUGGAGGGCCCUUGCGGCCUGACAGCGUACCUUUUGUAUAAUGGGUCAUCGACUUGGUCUAUCUAGCAAGCUUAAGCCGUUAGGUGUAGGCGCAGCGAAAGCGAGUCUUAAUAGGGCGUCGAGUUAGAUGGAUCAGACCCGAAACCGAGUGAUCUAGGCAUGGCCAGGCUGAAGGUAAGGUAACACUUACUGGAGGGCCGAACCCACAUCCGUUGAAAAGGAUCGGGAUGAGCUGUGCCUAGGGGUGAAAGGCCAAUCAAACUCGGAGAUAGCUGGUUCUCUGCGAAAUCUAUUUAGGUAGAGCGUCGUACGAAUACCCCCGGGGGUAGAGCACUGGAUGGGUAAUGGGGCCCCACAGGCUUACUGAUCCUAACCAAACUCCGAAUACCGGGGAGUACUAUACGGCAGACACACUGCGGAUGCUAACGUCCGUAGUGGAGAGGGAAACAACCCUGACCUCCAGCUAAGGCCCCUAAUUCAUGGCUAAGUGGGAAAGCAGGUGGGACGACCAAAACAACCAGGAGGUUGGCUUAGAAGCAGCCAUCCUUUAAAGAUAGCGUAACAGCUCACUGGUCUAAACAAGUUGUCCUGCGGCGAAGAUGUAACGGGGCUCAAGCCAUGAGCCGAAGCUGAGGAUGCGUUUAUCGCAUGGUAGCAGAGCGUAGUGUGACAUAACUCCAUUCCUCCUUAGUGCCCUCGGGUACAUUGGAGGAGAGGAGUUUUCUGUGAAGCCGGGGCGUGAGCCAUCCGGUGGAGAGAUCACUAGUGAGAAUGAUGACAUGAGUAGCGACAAAGAGUGUGAGAGACACUCUCGCCGAAAGUCCAAGGGUUCCUGCUUAAAGCUAAUCUGAGCAGGGUAAGCCGGCCCCUAAGCCGAGGGCGAAAGCCGUAGGCGAUGGGAACCACGUUAAUAUUCGUGGGCCAGGAAGAUGUGACGGAUCGUGACUGUUGUUCACCCUUAUCGGAUUGGGUGGGCCGCUAAUCGGUUCCUGGAAAUAGCCUUCCAUCAGACCGUACCCUAAACCGACACAGGUGGACUGGUAGAGCAUACCAAGGCGCUUGAGAGAACGAUGUUGAAGGAACUCGGCAAAAUACCUCCGUAAGUUCGCGAGAAGGAGGCCCGGUUCCUAGGCAACUAGGGGCUGGGGGCACAAACCAGGGGGUGGCGACUGUUUACUAAAAACACAGGGCUCUGCGAAGUCGCAAGACGACGUAUAGGGUCUGACGCCUGCCCGGUGCCUGAAGGUUAAAAGGAGGGGUGAGAGCUCUGAAUUGAAGCCCAGGUAAACGGCGGCCGUAACUAUAACGGUCCUAAGGUAGCGAAAUUCCUUGUCGGGUAAGUUCCGACCUGCACGAAUGGCGUAACGACUUCCCCGCUGUCUCCAACAUCGACUCAGCGAAAUUGAAUUACCUGUCAAGAUGCAGGUUUCCCGCGGUUAGACGGAAAGACCCCGUGCACCUUUACUACAACUUCGCACUGGCAUCAGGCCAUGCAUGUGCAGGAUAGGUGGUAGGCUUUGAAGCAGGGACGCCAGUCCUUGUGGAGCCACCCUUGAGAUACCACCCUUGCAUUGCUUGAUGUCUAACCGCGGUCCGUUAUCCGGAUCCGGGACCCUGCGUGGUGGGUAGUUUGACUGGGGCGGUCGCCUCCUAAAGCGUAACGGAGGCGCGCGAAGGUUGGCUCAGAGCGGUCGGAAAUCGCUCGUUGAGUGCAAUGGCAGAAGCCAGCCUGACUGCGAGACUGACAAGUCGAGCAGAGUCGAAAGACGGCCAUAGUGAUCCGGUGGUCCCAAGUGGGAGGGCCAUCGCUCAACGGAUAAAAGGUACGCCGGGGAUAACAGGCUGAUACUGCCCAAGAGUCCAUAUCGACGGCAGUGUUUGGCACCUCGAUGUCGGCUCAUCUCAUCCUGGGGCUGGAGCAGGUCCCAAGGGUACGGCUGUUCGCCGUUUAAAGAGGUACGUGAGCUGGGUUUAGAACGUCGUGAGACAGUUCGGUCCCUAUCUGCCGUGGGUGUAGGAUACUUGAGAGGAGUUGCCCCUAGUACGAGAGGACCGGGGUGAACGAUCCACUGGUGGACCUGUUGUCGUGCCAACGGCAGUGCAGGGUAGCUAUGAUCGGACAGGAUAACCGCUGAAGGCAUCUAAGCGGGAAGCCCCCCUCAAAACAAGGUAUCCCUGAGGGCCGUGGUAGACCACCACGUCGAUAGGCCGGAGAUGUAAGCAUGGUAACAUGUUCAGUUGACCGGUACUAAUUGCCCGAUAGGCUUGAUUUG